rnacentral:rRNA from 1 species
AGAGUUUGAUCCUGGCUCAGAACGAACGCUGGCGGCGUGCUUAACACAUGCAAGUCGAACGAGAAAGCUUCCUUCGGGAAGCGAGUAGAGUGGCGCACGGGUGAGUAACGCGUAGGUAAUCUACCCUUAUAUUUGGGAUAACAUUGGGAAACUGGUGCUAAUACCGAAUACCCUUCUUUGCCGCGGGGCGAAGAAGGAAAGGUGGCCUCUUCAUGAAAGCUACCGUAUAGGGAUGAGCCUGCGUACCAUUAGCUAGUAGGUGAGGUAACGGCCCACCUAGGCAACGAUGGUUAGCGGGUCUGAGAGGAUGAUCCGCCACACUGGAACUGAAACACGGACCAGACUCCUACGGGAGGCAGCAGUGAGGAAUAUUGCGCAAUGGGGGAAACCCUGACGCAGCGACGCCGCGUGAGUGACGAAGGUUUUCGGAUCGUAAAGCUCUGUCAGAAGGGAAGAAGUGCUAUAUGGUUAAUACCCAUAUAGUUUGACGGUACCUUCAGAGGAAGCACCGGCUAACUCCGUGCCAGCAGCCGCGGUAAUACGGAGGGUGCAAGCGUUGUUCGGAAUUACUGGGCGUAAAGGGCGCGUAGGCGGCUUGAUAAGUCAGAUGUGAAAGUCCACGGCUUAACCGUGGAAGUGCAUUUGAAACUGUCAGGCUUGAGUAUCGGAGGGGAGUGUGGAAUUCCCGGUGUAGAGGUGAAAUUCGUAGAGAUCGGGAGGAACACCGGUGGCGAAGGCGACACUCUGGACGAAUACUGACGCUGAGGCGCGAAAGCGUGGGGAGCAAACAGGAUUAGAUACCCUGGUAGUCCACGCCGUAAACGAUGUGAACUAGGGAUAGGGGGUGUUGAUCCCUCCUGUCCCGCAGCUAACGCAUUAAGUUCACCGCCUGGGGAGUACGGUCGCCAGAUUAAACUCAAGGAAUUGACGGGG